rnacentral:lncRNA from 1 species
AUGCUUUUUUGUGAUCUUCCAUACUUGACUUCCUUCUUAGAGAUAGCCCUGGCUUUUGGGAAUAACUUUUGGGCUCUGAGGCUGUUACUGGACCAUCUUUCCUAUGAGGAACAUGUUCUCCAUGGCACUGUCAACCUGAUUUUAAGAGAUCUAAAUCGUCAGAAAGCAACAAUGCUAAAACUGUGGCAAAACCUUGGUCCCCAGUAUGUGGGUGAAUUCCUUUGCCUGUUCCUGACUUGCAGACAUAAGAAGAUGCAAUCCAUUGGCCUGUUCACUCUGAAUAUUAUUACAGAGAACCUGCAUAUGUGUCCAUGGGCAAAGCAUCUUUGCAACUUCUUUCACAAUGCAGGAUUAAGGCACCUGCCCCUUGGCACUGCAGCUCAUCAUGAAGUCUCGAAGUUCAUAAACAUUUUUGAAAAAAUGUAAUUUGGCAAAGUCUUCAGGAAUAUUUUCCAAUUUGUCUUAAUCUGAGAAAUCUCUUCCUGGAGUCCCCUGUGUUCUGCUUUGGUUGUCAUCUCCAAAAACAUUCAGCUAAAAACUGACUUCAGACAAAUCCAGAAAUGAGCUCCUAGGAUAAGAUGGUGAAUAGCGGCUGUAUUUCAGCAGACGUGUUUGGGAAAUUUCCUUUCUUGUAGGUCCCUGUAUUAAGCAGUUUAAUUUUAAAGAAGUGGCAGGUUUAAGUUUGUGGGGGGGUUUUAAAGCCAGUAUACAGAGAGAUGCUGAUGAGGAGGGUGGGAGUAAUGAGGGGAGAGAAACACAGAUGAAGUAGAAAGCACCGCAAGUCUUUACUUCUGUUGUGUUGCACAGCUGUGCUGUGGGCAAGAUGUCUGCAGCAGAACAACUGCUGAGAGCGCUAAUGUUUUUUAAAAAAGGAAAAGUGCCUCUCCACAGGUGUACAACAGUAUGCAUUAAAAUACUGUUUGCACACCCUCUUUUAUUUAGUGUAUAAUUCUAAAAAGUAAACCACUCUUGAGGCUGAAGGACAUUAAUUGAAGCUUUCUUACUUGCUUCAAGAAACCAGAUUCAGGAAGGCCUAAUGCAGUAAAUAGCUUGUUUUGUUUGUAAAUAAAAAACUCUAGUUUUCAGGGUCUUCCAGUCGUGGGGCUUUGUUUUUAUUUUCUGCAGUGGGUGACUGUUAGACUGGUGCUGAUGGCUCUCUGGGUUUCUCAAAUCCUUAUAGUGGUAAGUUUCAGAGUUUACUUCUGAACUGUAGAGGUAGAAAUAGAGAAAUAUUUCUAGCCUGGUUUAUACUCCGCCCCCCUUACAAUACCUGUCUGUAUUGGUUUGGCAGUCAGGGGAAAAACAAUCUUAAUAUGUGAGGAACUGUAUUUUGCACAUUUAAGGCUUUCAGUGGCUUUUGCAGCUUUUGUUAUCGUAAAUAAGCUAUGCUGUUGUUCAAGUUUUCUACAAAAGUGUACAUGUAUCUAAAUCAAUACAAUGUUAGGUAAAACUCUGUAGGAGUUCUGUUGUCAUGUUGUCAGUUCUGUUUUGGGUUUUUUGUGGGGUUUUUGGUUUGGUGUGUCUGUGAGGGUUUUUGGGGGUUUGGGGGUUUUGUUUGUUUGUUUUUUAAGGGUUGCUGUACCUUUAUCUCGUGCUGUCCAAGAUCAGCCAGGACAAGCAGAGGUCAGCGAAGUCCCCUGAUACUUGGGAAUCUGGUUCUGCUGAUUGUUGGCAGGGCUGGCCACAGGGCGUCUUGUUCUGGUCUGUGCUCCUAAAGAUGCACUGUGGUGUUUCAUCCUCGUUUCCAAGAGAGGUGUUUCUUGCAUGUUCCCAAUAUGAUCUUUCUCACCUCAUCUACCUGAGCAGUGGAAGGUCCCUGUUACAGCUGAGGGAGAGAAAAAAGAGGGGGAAGGAAGCUGCGACCACUGAUCUUUAUAGGUGCUGUAUCUGUGUUCUCUGCUUUGCCUUUUGUCAGAGCUUUCCAUUCUCAACCUGCAGUCUGGCCUGUGAUGCUCUCUGGGUGCUCUCCCAGCAAUGCAGAGAGGCUGGACAGCUGACUGCUCUGAAGGCUCAUGUUCUGAACUCUCCAAAUUUUGUUAGUCCUUGGGCAUGCUAACAAUAGAGUGUUACAUCGUGUUUUGUCACUUUGCUGUGGGUGUAAAAUGACAACAGCAAAAGCAGCUGAGCCCUAAUAUCCGACUGAACUUGGACUGGGCAUAGACUCCGAUGUCACCCUGUUCGGUGCCCUGUGCAGGACCUGGCCCAGGAGGGAGAGGGAGCAGGUGAGGGCAGGGUACCCCUUCGAGCCUGGAUUUACCAUCACAAGGAAAGGCUAGGAACUGCUUAUUUACUGUAAGUAAAUAGUAUAUCUAUUCAUUAUUUAUCUGCUUCUGAAUUUUAAUGAAUUAUAGCAGCCCUUAUAGUGAGCAUUAUACUAUAGAUAAUGAUAUAAUCUUUUAUGUAUGAGAAAAAGACUUUCUCUAAAGAUCUGCACUUGUCUUUGGGCAUGGGUUGGAUAGACAGGUAUAGUCAUUACAGUCAGCCACAGUGGAAAACAUCUUCCCUGUACCCUGAGACUAUGACUAGUAUAACCCCAGAAGUAAACUGAAGGCUGAUCUUGUCUGCUUUGCUCCAGGUAUAAUUGAGAUGAACAGAGCUUAUUAAAAAUUGAAAUGUGUAGUUUGGAGAGGAAAAUGGGCACCUAGAGCUGUCUCAUCCAAAUACUGCAUUUUAGCCAACAGCACUCUGCUGUUUUAGCAAGUGUGUGUGUACAGCUGACACUGCCAAACAAUAAAUAGAACAUUUACAAGUAAGUGUCUGCAUCAAAAAUAAAAUUUCAUCUGAAAAUGGUGAAAUUGUCUGACAUUCUUAAAGUCUGGAACGGGACUGCUAUCAUCCACCCCAGGAGCGUAAUGUACCUUUGGGCCAAGGAGCUGCUGGGUUUUGGUCAGCUGUUUUGAGUGUGUGCAUCACCAUUGAUUAUGGAUACAGUUUCUGAAAUACAUUGCUAAUAAAGUAAUUGUUUACAGGCCAGAGAGGGGGGAGUUCGUAAAUGUUAUAUUGAGAACAAAUAAACAACCCCCUAG